CGCUGCCACGGGCGAUAUUGGUCGUAAUGUCUGUGUCGGGCGAUAAGCGUGUGAAAUAUCAUGGUAUAACGGUGAACUAUCUGACGUACGUGAAACGAGAUGUGAGGCAUGAGUAUGAUGGAUAAAAAACAGUUUAAAAUUGGUGCUCCAUGGUAGUCGUCAUCGUGUGUACUGAGCCACUGUUGUCAGCAACAUUUUAAAACACCGACAGCAAAAUAACGACGCCUAGGGCUCGAGAGAAAAUCUGCAACGCGGGAGCUCUUCCUGACGCGAUGAAAAUAAUGCAUAAAUCACGCGGAUUAUUUAUGACGCGGCGCCACAGCAACGUAUUAUCAAGUAAUAAUCAGUAUCGGCGCGUUGCGUAAUACCGUGGAAAAUUCACGUUGGGAGCAGAGAUUAAUACGCUGCUGACGUUUGCAUAAAUCCUUGCAGCUACUUUAAACGUGUCGUGAUACCGCUACCGGAAUAUCUUUCGGUCCGAUUAUUCGCAAAUUUUCCAAACUUAUGCCUCAAAAUUCGAGAACAAUGAAGUAUAGUUCCCUAGUCUACGUCACGUUUCUCGGUAUGU